ACGCUCCGCUAAACCCAUAGGCACAAUGAAAGUGAAGGCCACCUUCGCGGGGCCGAGGGAGGAAGGAGCGAGUCCCCUCGCGGGGACGGUUCCCGCACUCCCGGGGCGUCUGAUUCCUCAUCGCGAGGGAAGGCGCACCCAGAGCACACACNGUUGGGACCCGAAAGAUGGUGAACUAUGCCUGGCCAGGACGAAGUCAGGGGAAACCCUGAUGGAGGUCCGUAGCGAUUCUGACGUGCAAAUCGAUCGUCGGAGCUGGGUAUAGGGGCGAAAGACUAAUCGAACCAUCUAGUAGCUGGUUCCCUCCGAAGUUUCCCUCAGGAUAGCUGGCGCUCGGAGGAGAGUCUCAUCCGGUAAAGCGAAUGAUUAGAGGCCUUGGGGCCGAAACGACCUCAACCUAUUCUCAAACUUUAAAUGGGUGAGAACUCCGGCUUGCUCGAUAUUCAAUGAAGCCGGAGAUGGGGCC
rnacentral:rRNA from 1 species